rnacentral:rRNA from 1 species
CCUACGGGAGGCAGCAGUGGGGAAUAUUGCACAAUGGGGGAAACCCUGAUGCAGCGACGCCGCGUGAGUGAAGAAGUAUUUCUGUAUGUAAAGCUCUAUCAGCAGGGAAGAAAAUGACGGUACCUGAUUAAGAAGCCCCGGCUAACUACGUGCCAGCAGCCGCGGUAACCCGUAGGGGGCAAGCGUUAUCCGGAUUUACGGGGUGUGAAGGGAGCGUAGACGGUGUGGCAAGUCAGAAGUGAAAGCCCUGGGCUCAACUCCGGGACUGCUUUUGAAACUGUGUGACUGGAGUGCAGGAGAGGUAGGCGGAAUGCCUGGUGUAGCGGUGAAAUGCGUAGAUAGCAGGAGGAACACCAGUGGCGAAGGCGGCUGACUGGACUGUAACUGACGUGGAGGCUCGAAAGCGUGGGGAGCAAACAGGAUUAGAUACCCGGGUAGUC